rnacentral:ncRNA from 1 species
UCAUACAGUUGGGUAACAGGUUUGAAAUCUCUAAUCGCCCCGAGAUUUCAAUCAAAAGGGAAGCAGGUGCAAUUCCUGUACGGUCCCGCCGCUGUAAUAGCUUAGUAGUGCAAAAUAUGCCACUGUAAAUACGGGAAGGCUUUGUACUAUGUUCAUGCUUAAGUCAGAAGACCUGCCUGUUGCUGUAAAUCAUA